UGCGAAGGGGGCUAGCGUUGUUCGGAAUCACUGGGCGUAAAGGGCGCGUAGGCGGCCGAUCAAGUCGGGGGUGAAAGCCUGUGGCUCAACCACAGAAUUGCCUUCGAUACUGUUUGGCUUGAGACCGGAAGAGGUAAGUGGAACUGCGAGUGUAGAGGUGAAAUUCGUAGAUAUUCGCAAGAACACCAGUGGCGAAGGCGGCUCACUGGCCCGGUACUGACGCUGAGGUGCGAAAGCGUGGGGAGCAAACAGG
rnacentral:rRNA from 1 species